UUUUUUGUUAUUAUUUUUGCUGCACGCGAGAAACAUGACGCAUGUGCACGGUAAAUAUUUAACGCAUGUGCGGGGUAAAUAUUAAAAGCGGUUUCUUGUUUCUGACAUUUGCGGUGAGUUGCAAUUUGCGGAUCGAUAUUGAUGCGUAUAGGUGCAGCGUUAUGGUGGGAGAGGCACAGCUUUCUGAAAGCGUUCGACGACGUGUGAAAACUCGUGGCAACAUGACGACGGAGAGGGUGGGGUGAAAACCGUGGUAAACGUGGGAACUGUUGUUGAGAUGGAGAGAAAGUAUUAUAGUGAAGUAUCCAGCAGUGGCAAGGAAUGUACGGUAGAGCUUGUAGUGGAGCUGGGAGAGGCGAGCAUGAGGGACGAAGGGAUAAGAAACAUGUCGGAUGCGAUCAUACCAGCACUAAAGCACCGGAUCCCAUCAGAACUCCGAAGUUAAGCGUGCUUGGGCGAGAGUAGUACUAGGAUGGGUGACCUCCUGGGAAGUCCUCGUGUGUGGCAUUCUC
rnacentral:rRNA from 1 species